UAAAUACUUCCUUCAUUUCGAAUUAUUUGUCAUAGGUAUGGAUGUAUUUAAAUGUAUUUUAAUUCUAGAUACAUCCAUUUCUACGACGAGUAAUUUAAAAUGGAGGGAGUAGUUG
rnacentral:pre_miRNA from 1 species